GGUUUGGAUUAUGGCUCAGAUUGAACGCUGGCGGGAUGUUUACACAUGCAAGUCGAACGGCAGCACGGACUUCGGUCUGGUGGCGAGUGGCGAACGGGUGAGUAAUGUACUGGAACGUGCCUAUAGUAGCGGGGGAUAACUACGCCAGGGCAGAAGCAAUACCGGCACAUCUUCGGGAAAGCGGGGACCUUCGGGCCCCGCACCAUUAGAGCGGUCAGAUAUCGCGGGAUUAGCUGGGAAGGUGGGGCAGUAACGGCUCACCAAGGCGACGAUCCGUAGCCAGUCGGUGAUGGGGACGACCAGCCACACUGGGACUGAGACACGGCCUGACCGCGGAGGCAGGGGAAUUUUGACAAUGUGGGGAAACUCUUGAUCCGCAGCCAUCUCGCGUGCGAUGAAGGCUCCUUCGGGUUGUAAAGCACUUUGGCAGGAAAAGAAAACACGCGGAUAAUACCCUGUGCAAACUGACGGUACCGCAGAAUAAGCACCGGCUAACUACGCCGCCAGCAGCCGCGUAAUACGCAGGGUGCAAGCGUUAAUCGGAAUACUGGGCGUAAAGCGUGCGCAGGCGGUUCGGAAAGAAAGAUGUGAAAUCCCAGAGCUUAACUUUGAACUACUUAACUACCGAGCUAGAGUGUGUCAGAGGGAGGUGAAUUCCGCGUGUAGCAGUGAAAUGCGUAGAUAUGAGUGAACACCGAUGGCGAAGGCAGCCUCCUGGGAUAACACUGACGCCCAUGCACGAAAGUUGGAGAGCAAACAGGAUUAGAUACCCUGGUAGUCCACGCCCUAAACGAUGUCAACUAGCUGUUGGGGCCUUCGGCCUGGUAGCGCAGCUAACGCGUGAAGUUGACCGCCCUUGGGGAGUACGGUCGCAAGAUUAAAACUCAAAGGAAUUGACGUGGGGACUCCGCACAAGCGGUGGAUGAUGUGGAUUAAUUGAUGCAACGCGAAAACCUUACCUACUCCUUGAUGAUGUCUGAAUCCCGAAGAGAUUUGGGAGUGUCGGGUGAAGAGAACCGAACACAGGUGCCGCAUGGCUGUCGCCGCCUGUGUCGUGAGAUGCUGGGUUAAGUCCUGCAACGAGCGCAACCCUUGUCAUUGGUUGCUACGAAAGGGCACUCUGACGAGACUGCCGGUGACAAACCGGAGGAAGGUGGAUGAUUGUCAAGUCCUCAUGGCUCUUAUGGGUAGGGCUUCACACGUCAUACAAUGGUCGGGGACAGAGGGUCGCCAACCCGGCGAGUGGGAGCCAAUCCCAGAAACCCGAUCGUAGUCCGGAUCAGCAGUCUGCAACUCGACUGCGUGAAGUCGGAAUCGCUAUAAUCGCGGAUCAGCAUGUCGCGGUGAAUACGUUCCCAUGGGUCUUGUACACACCGCCCGUCACACCAUGGAGUGUGGGUUUUACCAGAAGUAGUUAGCCUAACCGUAAGGAGGGCGAUUACCACGUGUAGGAUUCACGACUGGGGUGUCGUAACAAGCGAAGC
rnacentral:rRNA from 1 species